UAGUCUUUGCAAACCUCCAAGUUGCUGUGGUAUCUCAUUUAUGAACAAAUUGUGACUGAGAUCAAGGCUUUCCAGAAAGCGCAAAUUGCUUAUCUCUGAAGGAAUGCUCUCUGUAAACUUGUUCUUGCUAAGGUUCAAGAACAAAAGUUUUGAGCACUUCCCGAUCUCCUUUGAAAUUGCACCGCUUAGAUUGUUUGCUGCCAUG
rnacentral:misc_RNA from 1 species